UUGACGGGGCCCGCACAAGCGGUGGAGCAUGUGGUUUAAUUCGACGCAACGCGAAGAACCUUACCAGGGCUUGACAUCCCCUGACCGCGUAUGAAAGUACGUUUUCACCCUCGGGUGACAGGGAGACAGGUGGUGCAUGGUUGUCGUCAGCUCGUGUCGUGAGAUGUUGGGUUAAGUCCCGCAACGAGCGCAACCCUUGCCAUUAGUUGCUACGAAAGGGCACUCUAAUGGGACUGCCGGUGACAAACCGGAGGAAGGUGGGGAUGACGUCAAGUCCUCAUGGCCCUUAUAGGUGGGGCUACACACGUCAUACAAUGGCCGGUACAGAGGGUAGCCAACCCGCGAGGGGGAGCCAAUCCCACAAAGCCGGUCGUAGUCCGGAUCGCAGUCUGCAACUCGACUGCGUGAAGUCGGAAUCGCUAGUAAUCGCGGAUCAGCAUGUCGCGGUGAAUACGUUCCCGGGUCUU
rnacentral:rRNA from 1 species